rnacentral:lncRNA from 1 species
GGAGAGUCAUGUGGCUAAUCAGCAUGCUUCCAUAAACACAAAGAAUUCCAAAGAUGAUAAUCCUGACACCAACAUUUACAUCAGAAUCUCAAGGGGUAGAGCCCUUGAAUAAGUAUAUUUUAAAAGCUUUCCAGCUGAUUUUAGUGCAUAGCCAGGUAUUGAGAACUACUCUGGAAUGUUAGAAAGUCAAGAGACCAUCCUAGCCAACAUGGUGAAACCCCGUCUCUACUAAAAAUACAAAAAUUAGCUGGGUGUGGUGGCAGGCGCCUGUAGUCCCAGCUACUCAGGAGGCUGAGGCAGGAGAAUCGCUUGAACCUGAGAGGUGGAGGUUGCAGUGAGCCGAGAUCACGCCACUGCACUCCAGCCU